rnacentral:rRNA from 1 species
UGUGACCUCAAAUCAGGUAGGACUACCCGCUGAACUUAAGCAUAUCAAUAAGCGGAGGAAAAGAAACUAACAAGGAUUCCCCUAGUAACUGCGAGUGAAGCGGGAAAAGCUCAAAUUUAAAAUCUGUCAGUCUUUGACUGUCCGAGUUGUAAUCUAGAGAAGUGUUAUCCGUGCUGGACCGUGUACAAGUCUCCUGGAAUGGAGCGUCAUAGAGGGUGAGAAUCCCGUCUUUGACACGGACUGCCAGGGCUUUGUGAUGCGCUCUCAAAGAGUCGAGUUGUUUGGGAAUGCAGCUCAAAAUGGGUGGUAAAUUCCAUCUAAAGCUAAAUAUUGGCGAGAGACCGAUAGCGAACAAGUACCGUGAGGGAAAGAUGAAAAGAACUUUGGAAAGAGAGUUAAACAGUACGUGAAAUUGCUGAAAGGGAAACGCUUGAAGUCAGUCGCGUUGUCCAGGGAUCAACCUUGCUUUUGCUUGGUGUACUUUCUGGUUAACGGGUCAGCAUCAAUUUUGACUGUUGGAAAAAGAUCAAGGGAAUGUGGCAUCUUUAGAUGUGUUAUAGCCCUUGGUUGCAUACAAUGGUUGGGAUUGAGGAACUCAGCACGCCGCAAGGCCGGGUAUUAACCACGUACGUGCUUAGGAUGCUGGCAUAAUGGCUUUAAUCGACCCGUCUUGAAACACGGACCAAGGAGUCUAACAUGCCUGCGAGUGUUUGGGUGGAAAACCCGAGCGCGUAAUGAAAGUGAAAGUUGAGAUCCCUGUCGUGGGGAGCAUCGACGCCCGGACCAGACCUUUUGUGACGGUUCCGCGGUAGAGCAUGUAUGUUGGGACCCGAAAGAUGGUGAACUAUGCCUGAAUAGGGUGAAGCCAGAGGAAACUCUGGUGGAGGCUCGUAGCGAUUCUGACGUGCAAAUCGAUCGUCAAAUUUGGGUAUAGGGGCGAAAG